GUGCUCCCUGCGGCAGCACGUAAACCAAAAUUGGAAGUAUAGAGAUUAACAUGGCUCCUGCAUAAGGAUGACAUGAAAAUUAGUGAAGCAGCCCAUUUUUUU
ensembl:snRNA U6 U6 spliceosomal RNA